AUUGAACGCUGGCGGCAUGCCUUACACAUGCAAGUCGAACGGUAACAGGUUAAGCUGACGAGUGGCGAACGGGUGAGUAAUGUAUCGGAACGUGCCCAGUCGUGGGGGAUAACGUAGCGAAAGCUACGCUAAUACCGCAUACGAUCUAUGGAUGAAAGCGGGGGAUCGCAAGACCUCGCGCGAUUGGAGCGGCCGAUAUCAGGAUUAGGUAGUUGGUGGGGUAAAGGCCCACCAAGCCGACGAUCUGUAGCUGGUCUGAGAGGACGACCAGCCACACUGGGACUGAGACACGGCCCAGACUCCUACGGAGGCAGCAGUGGGGAAUUUUGGACAAUGGGCGCAAGCCUGAUCCAGCAAUGCCGCGUGCAGGAUGAAGGCCUUCGGGUUGUAACGUA
rnacentral:rRNA from 1 species